rnacentral:rRNA from 1 species
UACGUAGGGUGCAAGCGUUGUUCGGAAUCAUUGGGCGUAAAGCGCGUGUAGGCGGCUAUCUAAGUCUGGUGUGAAAGCCCGGGGCUUAACCCCGGAAGUGCAUUGGAUACUGGAUAGCUAGAGGGUGAGAGAGGAGGGUGGAAUUCCUGGUGUAGGGGUGAAAUCCGUAGAUAUCAGGAGGAACAUCAGUGGCGAAGGCGGCUCUCUGGCUCACAUCUGACGCUGAGACGCGAAAGCGUGGGUAGCAAACAGG